GUGUCUGAUAAUACACGUCAUAACAUCCAGGAAGUGUGAAGGAAGUAUACGAUAAGACAAGUUUUCCUUAAAUCGUAAUGCAGUGCAAAAUGCUGAAAGGUGUUAUAAGUGUUUUGCUUCCAUUAAUUAUUUUUUUACACAAAAACACUCAUGGUUUGGAAUGUUAUGUCACAAACACAAACUCAUCACUAAAAGGGGAAUUCGUUUUACAAGAUUGUACAAAAUAUUUACAAAAUGUAUUUGAAAGCAAAGGUGCUCAUUACGUGACAGUACCACCUAAAACACAAUACAACUGCCACACAUUGUAUGUUCACACAGAAGCAACAGAUGUUAGAUUGAAAGGAUGUAUUCCGAAAGGUGAUUGCCAGUCGAGGGCAAAAUCAAGGCAAGAGAAGAUACAAUUGGGAAAUCUUCAUUCAAAAAUUGUAAAUACCCGUUGCGUUGAGUGUUCCACAGAUCGAUGCAAUGACGACAAUUCGUCUCCUCAGCAUUUCGUAAAUUUUUUAGUAACAAUAAUUCCAUUGGCAGUGCUUGUAUGGACACAUAUCUGAACAAAAGAGAAAAAAAACGAUCUAUGACGUCAGGAACAUGAAGUUACUCAAAUUACAGAAUCUUACCAGGUAUCUAUAAUACUCACUUUCCUGACGUCUAGUGUUCCAACGAAAGCAGUGGUUUUAUGAUUUUGAAUUUACAAAAUCGGUUGUUUCCGAACAAAGAGCAUCAUAAACGAAUAUCACUAAAGAUAAGCCGAUUCUGUUUAGAAGAAGCGUACCAACCAAACACAACGAACAACUGCCAUUAAGUUUAAGCUGCAUCUAUUGCUCGUGGUAUCAAGCGUGGUGAGGGAGUUAAAAUCGUAAGCCACUCCUCUCAUCGUUGCACUAUAACCAGUACUCAUAUGUAUAUAAAUGUUUCUGUAAUUAAACAUUUUUCAUGAAUAAACAUCACUUUCUUUCUUA